UACGAAGGGGGCUAGCGUUGCCCGGAAUCACUGGGCGUAAAGCGCACGUAGGCGGACUCUUAAGUCGGGGGUGAAAUCCUGGAGCUCAACUCCAGAACUGCCUUCGAUACUGAGAGUCUUCGAGUUCGGGAGAGGUGAGUGGAACUGCGAGUGUAGAGGUGAAAUUCGUAGAUAUUCGCAAGAACACCUGUGGCGAAGGCGGCUCACUGGCCCGAUACUGACGCUGAGGUGCGAAAGCUUGGGGAGCAAACAGG
rnacentral:rRNA from 1 species